GAUAGAUUUUACGGCAGUGUGUGUGUGACAGUGAGACGGGAAGGAGUUCUAGUAUCUCCAACAGCUUGAACCAAAUGUGGAGCAUAGCAGUGUAUGGCUGAUUGUGACACCGGGUGAGGGAACCGACUGGUGUCCACCGCCCUGCCCCGUGACUUCUGUUCUCUUCAGAGUUAUUAUUAGUCUUGCACACACGCUGCAUGGUACACAACAGGAGGAUGAUGGAGAGUGAGAAGAUGGAGAGUGCAGAGCGGAGAAGAGUUGAAGGGAGACAGGAGGGGGAGGAGGCUGAGUUUGACCUGCUGCGGGAUGACACGCCAGGCCCUGAGUUUGCCAAUGACCUCUCACGGUCCAACUCAUCCCCCAUCAUUGGGAACAGCCCAAUGCAUGACUGGGAGAGUGAGAAGACCACUGAGAAAGAGUUCUUUGAUGAUGGUACCAUGACCUAUUUCUGGCGGGCACACACGCUCACCACUCUGGUGUUCAUGAUAUGCUUCCUACUGUAUGAGGCGCUCACUCCUCCCGAUGAGGACAUGGUUGACAACACCAAAAGGGGUAUUGUUGCCAGUCUGUCUGCCUUCAUCCUCUUAGGUGUAACAGUCACUCCUGAUGGCCCAUUCAAGCGGCCACACCCGGCCAUCUGGCGCCUCACCUUCAUCAUAUCCAUCGUUUAUGAACUCGGCCUCAUAUUUGUUCUCUAUCAGAGUGCCUCAGGGGCACGACAGCUACUAAAGCACAUCGACCCCAAGCUUGGGGAGCCCAUGGAGGAGAAGGACUAUGGGGGAAACUGCCGUCUCUAUGACCAUGAGAGACCAGAUGACCCUUUCCAUAAUAUUAAGGACAAGGUGGACUUGUUUGUGCCUCUCCAUUUCUUUGGCUGGUGGAUGAAGACGCUGCUGCUGCGGGACUGGUGGCUGUGCUGGGUGGUGUCUGUAAUGUUUGAGCUGUUGGAGUACACUUUGGAACACCAGCUGCCCAACUUCUCAGAGUGCUGGUGGGAUCAUUGGAUUAUGGAUGCCCUAGUGUGUAAUGGUCUGGGUAUCUACUGUGGCCUUCAGUCUCUAAAGUAUUUCUCCAUGAAGAUUUACCACUGGCGAGGACUCUGGAACAUUCCUUCAUACAGAGGAAAGCUGAGGCGCAUCAUUGCUCAGUUUGGUCCCUAUGUGUGGGUGGACUACGACUGGAAGCCCCUGUCAUCCCUUGGCAGGUGGUUCUCUGUUCUUGCUAUCAUUGCCAUGUUCCUGAUCACUGAACUGAACACAUUUUACCUCAAGUUUGUAUUAUGGGUGGAGCCAGGCCACUGGGUCAACCUGGUGCGUCUCAUCUUCAUCCUGCCUUGGGGUGCUGUUGCUCUGAGAGAGGUUUUCCAGUUUCUUGAUGAUCCAGAUAUCACAAAGUUUGGUCGGCAAUCAUGGCUCUUCCUGUCAAUUGUGUGCACAGAGCUGCUCAUUGUGAUCAAAUUUGGCUGGGACACCGUAACUAUUCCAUUCCCAAGACAUGUGAUCUCCAUGUGGCUGGGAUUCCUGGUGUUGCUGGUGCUGUGGACGGUGUGGAACUUUUACAUUAACCCUCACACAUUCAAUACUGGCGGUAGCAGAUGGUGCCGGAGCUGAAACAACUUGUACCCAAGGGAAAGGAAGAUUGAUGGGGGUGAAAAAUGGCUGUAAAGGGGCUUCUCGCCUAAAUUGUUACCCUAAAGUAUCCUGAGGUCUUCCCAAGCAUUGGAAGACCCUUAAGAAGGGAAUCGGCUAGGUGUUGGUGGACAGCAAGGAUAUUGAGCGGCGCCGGGAACACUGGAUUCAAGUGCGUGCGAUUGAAACAAAGCUCAGCCCUUCGGAGUCAAGGCUGUUUGACCCACAGUUCUUCUUUAAGAAGUUCAUGCAGAGGACCAAGGAAG
rnacentral:misc_RNA from 1 species